rnacentral:lncRNA from 1 species
ACAGAAUUGAACAAGAAAGCAGAGAUGUCAGACUUACUCUGUAUUUGGUGAAAAUAAACUGCCAGUUUAAUAACCAUACAAUAAAACCUGUAAAUACCGAUGAAUUAUACUAAAAAAAAAAAAUGAUCGUAACAAAAACAAAAAAAAAGGAGGAAAAAUGCACAACCAGCUAAAGUGGAACAAAGGGAUUUAUCAGGAAGGAAAAUUAGAGUUCACAACCCCGAUCCCCAAUACACUCACUCUCACUUUCAAACACACACACACACACACACAGUUACUCUCCGUUAGCAGCACACACACUCUUACAGUCUCACUCAGACAUGCAUAAAGGACAGGGUUUGAUAAUCAGUACACAUUAAAUUCACAAACAAAAUGACUGGACCUGCUCUAAUGUCAGCAUGUCACCCUGUGAGCCAACACCCCCCCCUCCCAGCCACGGGGGCUUCGCUGAGCGUCUUCCUGCGGGUGCUGAUCAUCGUUCAGAAGGUACAGGGGAGCGGGGCUGGGAACUGGAUUUUGAGAGGGGUGGGUGCUGUAGGGUGGAAUGAGAUGGGAGGGUUGGGUGCUGUAGGGUGGAAUGAGAUGGGAGGGUUGGUGGAAGCCAUUUGUGUAUUUAAGGUGGAUGUGUGGGUGUUUGGAGAUCAGUGCGGCUCCCCUAGUUCUCGUUGUCGCCUGCUUCGUCGCCCUGGUUUUCUGACGUCCAAAGCUGCAGGUAUGAGAAUUAAUAUAAUGUAUGAGCCAAUAAAGCACUGAAACAGAAAUAACACUGGUGCAGAAUGUAUGAUGGAGGACUUACAGUGAGGUUGUCCCUUAGAAGCUGCAUGAUCAAGGUGCUGUCUUUGUAGGAGUCCUCAUUUAAAGUGUCAAGCUCAGCAAUGGCUUCAUCAAAAGCCUGUAAGAGAGGCUCUGGUUUCUCAUUUGGGUUGAAUGAGCAUUAAAUACACUGGUGCUUGUAUUGUAACAAUGUUUACUGUAGUCAAGAUUUGCAAAGAAAUAAAAUACACAUUUAUAUGAUGAAGUGUAAGAGGCUGUCCACAUAGGACACAUUCUCGUUUUUUAUGGUUUUAUAUGUACACAUGCACUAGAUGGGCAUCUUUGGCGACUGUACGGUCUCUCAAUACUUGGCAAGUUAAAAUCAGUUGAAUUUCUAUAAAAAAAAGUCUCUGUCCAAAUUUGGUUAAAUGCAAGAACUCAUCCUGUGUGAAUGGCCCCUUAUGUUGCUAGCAUU